GAUCCACUGAGAUUCAGCCCGCCGCCGCACCGAUUUGU
rnacentral:rRNA from 1 species